UGGUUAGUAAUGUGUCAGAAGGAAGCGAGUCUUCCUCUUUCAUGUGACGCUUGAUGAGGUUUUUCUGAACCCGUUCCAGGAAAAGUCUCCCCACAUGCAGGCGUGAGAGCGAUGCACAGUGAGCAACCAUCUGUGGUGAAACAUGUCCGCUGAGUCUCUGACCAUGUGAUCAUCUUCCUGCAGGUUUAUCCAGCAUCCCAAGAACUUUGGUCUGAUUGCAUCUUUUCUGGAGAGAAAGACUGUGGCGGAGUGUGUGCUCUUUUAUUAUCUUACCAAGAAGAAUGAAAACUACAAGAACAUAGUGCGGAGGAACUACCGG